rnacentral:rRNA from 1 species
AUUGAACGCUGGCGGCAUGCCUUACACAUGCAAGUCGAACGGUAACGCGGGGCAACCUGGCGACGAGUGGCGAACGGGUGAGUAAUGUAUCGGAACGUGCCCAGUUGUGGGGGAUAACUGCUCGAAAGAGCAGCUAAUACCGCAUACGACCUGAGGGUGAAAGCGGGGGAUCGCAAGACCUCGCGCAAUUGGAGCGGCCGCUAUCAGAUUAGGUAGUUGGUGGGGUAAAGGCUCACCAAGCCAACGAUCUGUAGCUGGUCUGAGAGGACGACCAGCCACACUGGGACUGAGACACGGCCCAGACGCAUACGGGAGGCAGCAGUGGGGAAUUUUGGACAAUGGACGCAAGUCUGAUCCAGCCAUGCCGCGUGCGGGAAGAAGGCCUUCGGGUUGUAAACUUCUUUUAUAAGGGACGAAAAAAGGCUUUUCUAAGUCGUCUGACGGUACCUUAUGAAUAAGCACCGGCUAACUCCGUGCCAGCAGCCGCAGUAA